CAGGCAUGUCUUGAUGUGGUUCUUCCUUAUAUUCGACAAAGAGAACAGUUUGGUCGUCCAAUUGGAGAAUUUCAGUUUAUACAGGGGAAGAUUGCUGACAUGUAUACUUCUUUGCAAUCUUCAAGGUCCUAUGUUUACUCUGUUGCAAGGGAUUGUGACAAUGGGAAAGUUGACCCUAAGGAUUGUGCUGGAGUGAUACUCUGUGCAGCUGAAAAGGCAAC